CUGGCCCCGGCGAGCCCGGGCACCCCGGGGCCUGACUCCCGAGUCUACAGGUGUCCACCUCCUCACGGUGUCCUCAUGUGGCCUCUUCUCCAUGCACACACAUCCCUGGUGUCUUUUUCUCCUAAGGAUGCCCCUCCUGCUGGUUUAGGGCUCUCUCUCGCGAACUCUUACCACCUGAAUCACCUCGGUAAAGGCUUUAUGUCCAGAUAGUCACAUGCGGGUCAGGCCUUCAACAUUUGGAUUUGGAGGGGACACAAUUUGGUUUACAAUACCAGGAAAGCAGAGACCCUGUUUUGUUGUGGAUUCCCAGUCCCUAGCGGAGUGACUACCACUUCAUAAACACUUCUUGAAUGGAUGUCUACAGGAACCUUGGAGCCAAGAUCUGUGGGGUGCACAAGAGGCAACUGACUGCAGGGGCAUGUGGAGAGAAUAGGAAAAUUUAAGUCAGAAGAUCCUGAAAAGCCAUGUGGCCAAACCCCAGAGUGCUGGAUGGGGUACCAGGGAGCUGAGACGAGCAAGGGCCAGGCACUGAAGGCCAUCGUAAAGCCACAGGAAGCAGCAUGCUUUUCUGCCAGUACAAGGAACAACUCGACAGGAUUGUAUUAGUUUCCUGUUGCUGCUGCAACAGAUCGCGGCAAACUCAGUGGCUUAAAACAACACGUAUUUAUUAUCUGAUAGUUGUGCAAAUUUGGAGUCCGAAGUGGGUCUCACUGAGCUACAGUCAAGGUGUUGGCAAGACUGGUUCCUUCAGGAGGCUUCAGGAGAGGAUCUCUCUUCUCGCUGUCCACAGCUUCUAGAAGCCGUCCGAAUUCUGUGGCUCCAUGGCACCUUCCCCCAACUCAAUGCAUGGCUCUGACUCGGCUUCUGUUACAAUUUCUCUGGCUCUCCUUCUUUCUCUCAUAAGUACCCUUACCUUUCCCUAGAGGAGUGACUAAUGAACGGAGUAAGCUUUCCAGCAUCAUCAUUGGAGUCAGAGGGGGCCUUUGAAGCCACUGCACCCCCAGACUCUGAAGCAUAUUCCCUGGUCCCCCGUUACAGAAACUAUUCCCAGGGGCGUCACGAAGGGGUGACCCAUCUCAGGGGCACUGAAGCAGAAAAAUGCUUGAGAAUCACUGGCUUAAAUAUGGAGCCUCAGGGGCACCUGGGUGGCUCAGUGGGUUAGAGCCUCUGCCUUCGGCUCAGGUC